rnacentral:lncRNA from 10 species
AGCUACUGCUCCAUAGCAAUUCUGAAAUUUCCCAGGACGCAUACUGGUGCUUCCUUAAGCAGGUCUCAAGCUGUGUGAGUAAUUCCACAUGCCUUCUGUCUCUGCCUUCCUGGAUCUUCUGAGUCAUCUAUUUUUCCCCCCAUGAAAUGUGGCCAGUGCUCCAAUCCGAGUAGUUUCCUCAGCUGCUUGUUACUUAUAGAAAUUUAUGGGUCUUAAGAAGCCAUUUCUUUUUGAACUGACUCUUUCCUUUUCAGUCAAAGCUAGUGGUUCAUCUGCUGCUACACUUGUCUUGAAAAAUUGUGUGGGUCUCCCAUGAAUCUUAUUGUAGAGUAUUCCAUCUUACCAAAGCCAUACCUAGAAAUGUCUUUAAGAUAACCCGUUUUGACCUUGGCAUCCUUUCUAAACUGCUGAGGAACAAUAGUCUUAUGCUUCUUUUCUCUGGGUAUAUAGUAAGACUGUUUCACUUUCCUGUUGUUAUACAUUAAAUUUUGUCCCCCUGCCCCCGCAAAAAAAAAACAUAUAUUGGAGUCCAAGGAAUGAAACAGAUCAUCAACAAACCAUGAGAAGCCAGGAGAGAGCUAUGAACAGAUUCUCCUGCACACCCUCGGGAAGAGCCAACCCUGCUGACACCUCCGAGACAGUAAAACUUUAAAAUCUUUAAAAAAUUGUUUUCAAUAGCCAUCGGUGGUUAGUUGUUAGUGUGUUGGGCAGCGCAGGUAUAUAAAGCCACUCCAUCACCAAAACAGAAGUAGGGGUGGUAGGAAUGUUGGAGAAAGACGGGGGGAGAGAGAGAGAGGAAGAGAGAGAGAGAGAGACAGACAGACAAUAAGAGAAAAAGAGAAAGAAAAAUCAAGUGUUUCUGAGAUAAUCGGUUGCAGGGCAACUUGUAGAACAAACAUUGGAAGAGAAAGAAUCUUUCACUCUCCAGUAUUAUACAGAUCUUACUGGCAAAUUAGGAAAAGCAUCCAUGUAAAUAUUCAAGUAGAAUUGGUAAGAAAAAUGAGCUCCUGGCCAGGCACAGUGGCUCUUGCCUGUAACCCCGGUAUUUUCGGAGGCCAUGGCAAGUGGAUCACUUGAGGUCAGGAGUUUGAGACCAGCCUGGCUAACAUGAUGAAAUCCCAUCCCUACUAAAAAUUAAAAAAAAAAAAUUAGCUGGCGUGAUUGUGCAUGCCUGUACUUCCAGCUACUCAGAAGGCUCAGGUGGGAGAAUCGCCUGAACCUGGAAGGUGGAGGUUGCAGUGAGCCGAGAUUGUACUACUGCACCCCAGCCUGGGCAACAGAGCAAGACUCUGUCUCAAAAAAGAAGGAAAGAAAAAGAGAGAGAGAAAGAGAGAGAGAAAGAAAGAGAGAAACAGAGAAAUAGAAAGAAAGAAAAAAGAGAGCAAGAAAGAAAUAGAGAAAUAGAAAGAGAGAGAAGAAAGAAAGAAAGAAAAAGAAAGAAAAAAAGAAAGAAAGAAAGAAAGAAAGAAAGAAAGAAAGAAAGAAAGAAAGAAAGAAAGAAAGAAAGAGAAAGAAAGAGGAAAAGGAAAGGAAAGGUGGGGGGAGGGGAGGGGAGGGGACAGAAGGGAAGGGAAGGGAAGGGACUCCUAAAAUGAGAAAGAAGCUGGAGCUCCCUUCUGAUUAAAACACCUGCCCCAGGGCAGAAGCUGUGGCCACCUUGAUGCAGGCUGCACCCAGCAAAAGACACCCAGGGGCCUGGAGACAGAGCUGAGCAGUUGGAGGCUUUUGGAGGAACAGGCAGGUGUGUUCCCCUUCCUUGACCUAUUUAGGAGACUCCCCUUCCUCUAAUGAGGAGAAGGACUAAGGGGAAAGUGUAUCUAGGCAGGACUCACUAUUUGCCUGGCACUGGGCUGGCUGCUUACAAAGAUUCUUCAUUUCUAUCCUGGAGUAAUCGAUUAUCCCCAAUUCACAGAUAUUGGAAUUAUUUAUCCAAAAGAUGAAGAAACAGUGAUAACACAACAAUAAUAAUAAUUAACAUUUAACUAUAAUUGAAUGUAUAUUAUGUGACACACACUAAACACUUCACACCCAUAUUUAUUUUUCACAGAGAUAUUUUCAUUAAGCAGUAUUAUAAUUUUACAGAUGAGAAUAAGUGGAAACUAAUUGUCUCAUGGCAUGUACAUAUUACAUAGCAGAACCUCAAUUUUAACUCAGAUUUAUUUAACUCUAAACUUAAAUUGCAUAUACGUGUGUGUGUAUAUAUAUAUAUAUAUAUAUAUAUAUAUAUAUAUAUAUACGAUGCUAUCUAUAAUGUCCAUAAUAUCGGCCUUAAUAUAUCAUAUAUUAC